GACAAUGUAAGUGAAUCAGCUGAUCACACCUAUGCUGAUAUUGAACUGAAACCUAAGAAAGAAAUGAAGAAAAAGAUGAAACACAAGAAAGACAAUGUAAGUGAAUCAGCUGAUCACAUCUAUGCUAAUAUUGAACUGAAACCUAAGAAAGAAAUGAAGAAAGACAAGAAAGGGAAUACCAGUGAAGGUGGGAAAAAUGUGUACUCUAAACUGAAGAAAGGAGGAGGUCAAGGUGUUGCUUUUGGAUCUGUUGAUGUGGCCUACUCUUAGAGGAGGAAAAGACGGCAAUACAGUAGCUAAUGCUUAAUAUUAUCAAUAUAAAGCUUUGUGUGCAUUAAAGUAAAUGCUUCCUAAACUUUGAUUUUCUAAUAGCAUAAAAGAGUUUACUUAUCAUGUGCAGCGCAGAUGCUCCUUCAAAAAUGAGACAAUGAUAUUAACCGAAUGCUCUUGGCAAAAAAACUGUAAGAAACUAUAGUAAGAAACUCUUUACUAUACUGAAACUACAGUUUCUGUUUUGUUUACA